AGAUUGAACGCUGGCGGCAUGCCUUACACAUGCAAGUCGAACGGUAACGCGGGGCAACCUGGCGACGAGUGGCGAACGGGUGAGUAAUAUAUCGGAACGUGCCCAGUAGUGGGGGAUAGCCCGGCGAAAGCCGGAUUAAUACCGCAUGAGACCUGAGGGUGAAAGCGGGGGAUCGCAAGACCUCGCGCUAUUGGAGCGGCCGAUAUCAGAUUAGCUAGUUGGUGGGGUAAAGGCCUACCAAGGCAACGAUCUGUAGUUGGUCUGAGAGGACGACCAGCCACACUGGGACUGAGACACGGCCCAGACUCCUACGGGAGGCAGCAGUGGGGAAUUUUGGACAAUGGGCGCAAGCCUGAUCCAGCAAUGCCGCGUGCAGGAAGAAGGCCUUCGGGUUGUAAACUGCUUUUGUCAGGGAAGGAAUCUUCUGGGUUAAUACCUCGGGAGGAUGACGGUACCUGAAGAAUAAGCACCGGCUAACUACGUGCCAGCAGCCGCGGUAAUACGUAGGGUGCGAGCGUUAAUCGGAAUUACUGGGCGUAAAGCGUGCGCAGGCGGCUUUGCAAGACAGAUGUGAAAUCCCCGGGCUCAACCUGGGAACUGCAUUUGUGACUGCAAGGCUAGAGUACGGCAGAGGGGGAUGGAAUUCCGCGUGUAGCAGUGAAAUGCGUAGAUAUGCGGAGGAACACCAAUGGCGAAGGCAAUCCCCUGGGCCUGUACUGACGCUCAUGCACGAAGCGUGGGGAGCAAACAGG
rnacentral:rRNA from 1 species